CAUUUCAUUUUUAUUGCAGGAGGGUCAUGUAGGAAAAUGGAUGUCUACACAAUUUUAUGGAGAGAGAAAUGCUGUUGCAAUCCUGCUGCAACUUCUGGUCCUUCAUUUUGGGGUAUCAUGGGAUUAGUUUACCGUUGGUGCCAAAUUUAUUGAUCUUGCAUAAGGAUCAGCAAGACAAUUCUACAGAAUGCAACCUCAGUACAGAGAAUUAGGUUGCUGUGCAUUAGGUUUACCAGCAGAAACAGAGAAACAGAAAACCAAGCAGUGGAUUGUGUAUAAAAAGAAGUCAAUUAAAGAAUACACAUAUAUUGCAGGUAUUAAAGGAAAUGUUCUAAAUUUACUUUUAGAACUUGAAGGAAGUAUAAUGGAGUCCUUGUGCAUGUAAUACAAGGAGUAAGAAUUCCAAAGACCAUGACAGCAUCUCUGCCAAUUUAUCAGGCCUCCUAAAUCCUGGAUCAAGGCUUUUACUUUCAGAAAUGAAAAGAAGAAAAAAAGAGUGCUGCUGCCUCUAGAAAAUGAUUUCUGCUUCGAAGUUUCCCCUGGUGACAUUGAUUGUGGUCUGGCUAGCAUAAGGAUGGUAAUGAGCUGACAACAGUAAUUGUGAGAUUUCUGAAAUACAUGUAUACCAAUUUUGAUGUAGGAGGA